GUCCGGGAGGAUGAAACCAAACCGAACGCUGCGAUUCCAUUCAUGAUCAAAUCCUCUCGAUUAUUAAGACCAAAUGUGUCUUUAUUUUAUUUUUGUUUGUUUUCUUACCCUGGCGGACACGAGGAGAAGACAUCAUCUUUGUCUCGUGAAUGUCUCUGCAUGAAAGGAUGAGGUGGAGGAGAGGAGGAGAGGAGGAGAGGGAGGAUGUGAAGGCUUCGGGAUGGAUCCUGGAGGAGAUAAUGCGACAAGGAGACUCCGUGUUUCACUGCAGAUGUCGACGCUCUGCUUAUUUCGACGAUUCCAAAGGCAGGAGCUGCGGCUGCAUGUUUGACAUGGACUCUUUAUGGUUGGAUAAAUAAAAGUAAGUGUUAUCCAGAGAAAGAGACACAGCACGAGCGUCAACAAAAGAGAUGAUGAAGAGCAGCAGCAGCGCUGUUGCACCUCGGCUCGUUCGUCCUCAAGGUGACUGUCCCUGUCUCUUGAAUGAAGGAAGAGUCUUGGCUCUCUCGCGCUCUCUCAGUGUUCACAGUGGACCUUGAUUUAAAAUCAGUCAAUUAAGGCACGCGGUGAAUGCCAAGAGAGGAGCCUCACUGUCCACGACGGCUGGAAUCUUCUCAAAACUGCAAAAUCAUUUAAAGAUGAGAAAAAAAUCAUUAAAAAAGUUUGUCAUGGUGAAUUUUUCCAAUAAUAAGUGGGGAAUUACAUUAAUAUUUCAUGCUUCUUUCCAGUUAUUCUCAUAAAAACUGUAUAUAGUCUUCCUGUUUGAAGGUUGAGACUGAUCAGGAAGUAACAGUUUAUUGAAUCGCUAUCAGGGCGCAGAAAUAACUCAAUUUGAAUUGAAUUCUAUGGGAAAAUAAACAGUUUUCUCUGGUGUUUCAGAUCUUUUUCAAUAGCACAUGAUGUCCCUUUGUACUUUAUGUUCCAAUGUAGAGGACAAUAGACGGUAAGUGUGGACACCCCUGUGAUUUACAGCCCAUAUCAAGGAGCCUGGUUACACAUGAUAUUUUAAAAUGUACGGUUUCAAAAUGUCAAAUGUCAAAAUCAUGGCACCGUAAAAAUGAGGCGUCCAAACUUGGAUUUGUGUUGCAACAGUAAGACGACGUCCACUUACACGCUCAGUCCAGAACCUCAUGGUUUAUAAGAUCCUUGUACUGUAUGUAUCAUAUCUUUGAUGAUUUUUCUUACCGUAUGUAAGGUGGAGUGAAUUCAGUGUGUUCUGUAAUGGUAUUUGUAUCAUGUUUUUGUAACAUUGUGACAUUUUUGUUGUUGUUCCUUUGUUGCCCUUCAUACAUAAAUAAAAUGUAGAGAGAAAAA